GAUGAAGAACGCAGCGAAACGCGAUAAGUAAUGUGAAUUGCAGAAUUCAGUGAAUCAUCGAAUCUUUGAACGCACAUUGCGCCCGCCAGUAUUUUGGCGGGCAUGCCUGUUCGAGCGUCAUUUCAACCAUCAAGCCCCAGGCUUGUGUUGGGGACCUGCGGCUGCCGCAGGCCCUGAAAACCAGUGGCGGGCUCGCUGUCACACCGGGCGUAGUAGAUUUUAUCUCGCUCAGGGCGUGCUGCGGGUUCCGGCCGUUAAAAAGCCUUUUUUACCCAAGGUUGACCUCGGAUCAGGUAGGAAGACCCGCUGAACUUAAGCAUAUCAAUAAGCGGAGGA
rnacentral:misc_RNA from 1 species